rnacentral:lncRNA from 1 species
CCAAGACACCUGAUGAAGGCUUGAGGGUAUAUCAGCCGAAACGUGUUAACAACAAACAAGAUGAGGAUAAAUAUCCGUCAAAUGUAAAUAAUAUAAAUAAUGUACUUAAUUCCUCAUCUCUUGUAUUAAGAAUAUGAUUGCCCACCAGAACACUUCUACAUUGAAAUAAUGUGCAAAGUGGUUGAGUAUUCCACAAAGACAUAUGCUGGAACUUUGAAUUACUGGUACAGUUCAUCCCACAGGCUUCUAUAAUUUCCAUUGAUUCAGAAUCUUAGGUCAACCCAAAGCUUUGGUAAAAGACAGUUGGUCAAGAUACCACACAGUCAUUGAACUCAUUACCUUAGAAUGUCAAAUAACCUUCUUAACCUUCUCUCUUUCUUAGUCUCCACACACACUCAAACACACUUGUGUGAAUGUUUAUUUUGAUAAUGGCCCAUACAAGAUUAGUCAUAUUUCCUUCAUUUUUUUUUAUUUGUCAGAGUGUACUCAGACAAAAUCUAAAUUGAAUUAAACGUGAUUAAUCUUGUAAAGUGACAUCAUCUGAAUAAGCAUAUAUUUCCAUUCUACUUUAUCUUAUUGAGUUCUUUACGUUAAAUUGUGUCUCUUCAAGUUUUUCAAGCAUUGUUUCAGCAUAGCUUUGUAAAACCAUUAUAUAUAUAAAUAUAUAUAUAUAUAUAAUGCAUGAGUGUUAAUGGAUUGUUAGUUGUUUUAUUUAAUUCCAAAUGAAUCUCAGUCAAAGGCAUUCUCAGUUUGGUAAAGUAAUUAGCAGUUUAAGUGCAAGGCUUGACAUAAUUCUAUUUCUGAAGGAUGAUAUCCAAGCAUGGCCCACAGUCCAAUGAUUGAAAUUAGAUUUAAUAGACAAAUUAAGUGAUUUUGAUAUUUGUCAGACGAUAUGCAGGGAUGGGCUUAAGUAGUUGCUUAAUAUGAGUGGAAUGUUCUUUUAGCUUCUAUUUCUCUUUUUUAAACCUAUGCAAUUCAGGAUUCAACAAAGGGAUCUGCAGGGGAUGCCUAGUUCAUUGGAAGCCCUCUUUUUUGAUUUCUUGGAAUUUUGGUUUGAUUGCAUGACCCAUGCAACUGUUUACUUACUUUUGCCCACACUUGUAUAUAACGGUAUAUUUCUUUAUUUUAGUUUACACUUUGAUAUAUCUGUUUUUAAUCUUAUGAUUAUUACAACUGUAAACUGGUCAUUAAUAAUGAAAUAUAUUUAAUUCUAUUCCCUGAAGUAUUGGGUUUACAACAGUAGAUAUUUCUAAAUUCUUUGUGGAAAUAGUUAACUCCUACCUUCACAGUUCCUUUCUGUGUAUCUGGAAGGGUGUCUACCUAAAAUAUGUUUACCCCCAAGUCAACCCUCAAUUAAGAGUCAUAUGAUCAAAUAAACAUAUUAAUUAUGAGCAUCCCAUUCCAGCUUGGGAUCAGUUUCAAACACCAUGCAUCUAAGACUGUUUUAUCCAAUGUGUCCUGCCCCUUUUAAGAUGGUAGUGUAUAAUUUAAGAGAAAUUUGGUUGCUGCUUGAUCAAAGAGACCCCUGCCUUGAUCAUAACCAAGGAACACACAACUGCAUUAUUGAAAAUUUUUUUUUUAAGAUAGUAGAUUGUAAGUUGAGCUACAUUUGACUAUUAUUUUUUGCAGGCCACAUGACUACAUAGGAACACCCACCAUUGGCUUGUUGGCUCAGCAUAUGAUAGUAUGGCAUGAAGUAAAAUAGUCCUAAUCUAAUUCCUGUUGUGACACAUCAUCACUCCUUUACCACGGUGUUAACAUCUAACAUUAUAACUAGAAAUACAAUUUGCUUUAAAUUUGCGAAAAAACCCAUCCUGUUACUAAUUAAAAGGAUUGCAGUGUUAGAAUGUGAUUCGCUUCCGAUCUUCCAUUCAAGGGACACAACUCUGUCACCUACUGGAAUUUGAAUUCUUAGUGGUCUACACAUUACAUCUAUAUAUAUAUCCCCAGU